GAUGAAGAACUCAGCGAAAUGCGAUAAUUAAUGUGAAUUGCAGAAUUCCGUGAAUCAUCGAGUCUUUGAACGCACAUUGCGCCUCAUGGCAUUCCGUGAGGCAUGCCCAUCUCAGCGUUAGAAAAUAUUCUCAAAUUUUAGUUUUGUGCUAAAAUUUGGAUCAUGUCAAGGAAGCUAUUACUAUUAUUGUGAUCGCUCUUUGGAAAUUGAUAGGUCUUUGAGUUGCUACUCAUAGAACGUGAUGAAUCUUUCUUCGUUCUAUUGUAAUUCACUCUGGUAGUCCUAAAACUUGUAUGCCUGUGGCAUAUCUUGUAAUUUGACCUGAGAUUGGGUAGGGAUACCCGCUGAACUUAAGCAUAUCAAUAAGCGGAGGA
rnacentral:misc_RNA from 1 species